GGGACGCAGGGACGCGGGGGACAUGGGCACCCGGGCGGCCGCCAGCUGCUCCGCCGAGGCCACCAUCUCUGUCACCGCCACCAGAGCUGUCAGUGUCACCCCACGGGGACGUGGGGACGCGGGGGACAUGGGGACACAGGGACAUGGGGGGACACGGGGACGCAGGGAUGUGGGCAAUGUGGGCACCAGCUGCUCCGCCGAGGCCACCAUCUCUGUCACCGCCACCAGAGACAUCAGUGUCACCCCAUGGGGACGUGGGGACGUGGGGGACACGAGGAUGUGGGGACAUGGGGGGACACGGGGACGCAGGGACGUGGGGGAUGUGGGGACCCAAGCUGCUCCGCCGAGGCCACCAUCUCUGUCACCGCCACCAGAGCCGUCAGUGUCACCCCAUGGGGACGUGGGGACGUGGGGGACACGGGGACGCGGGGGACACGGGGAUGUGGGGACAUGGGGGGACACGGGGACGCAGGGAUGUGGGGGAUGUGGGGACCAGCUGCUCCGCCAAGGCCACCAUCUCUGUCACCGCCACCAGAGCCAUCAGGGUCCCCCCCAUGGGGACACGGGGGGGGACACGCAGGGGACACGGGGAUGCAGGGACACAUGGGGGUGUGUGGGGACACGUGGGGACACAGGGACAUGGGGGAUGUGGGCACCCGCGCCGCCGCCAAGGCCACCAUCUCUGUCACCGCCACCAGAGCCAUCAGGGUCCCCCCCACGGGGACACGGGGGGGGACACGCAGGGGACACGGGGAUGCAGGGACACAUGGGGGUGUGUGGGGACACGUGGGGACACAGGGACAUGCAGGAGACGCACAGACAUGGGGAUGAGUGGGGACAUGGGGACACACAUGGGGACAGGGCACAAAGACACGUAUCAAGAUGGGGACAAGGACACGACAGGGGACACGUGCGGGGAGGUGACAGGACACACGCUGGGACGGGGCACGAGGACACGGGUCAAGGACGGGGACAGGGCAGGGGACACAUGUUGGGGACAUCACAGGWGACAAGCAGGGGGACAGGGCCCGAGGACAUGGGUCAAGGACGGGGACAGGGACACAACAGGACACACAGGGCCACAACAGGGGACACAUGCAGGGACAGGACACGAGCACACGGGUCAAGGACGGGGACACGGCAGGUGACACACGUUGGGGACAUCACAGGUGACACACGCAAAGACAGGACGUGACAUGAGCCAAGGACGGGGACAGGGACACGAGGCCACAGUAGGGGACAUGUGCAGGGACAGGGCACGAGGACACGGGUCAAGGACAGGGACAGGGACAUGGCAGGGGACACGCUGGGGACAUCACAGGUGACAAGGAGGGGGACAGGACAGGAACACACAGGUCAAGGACAGGGACAGGGACUCGGCAGGGGACACGGGGCCACCACAGGUGACACGCGGGGACACGGCCUGAGGACACGGGUCAAGGACGGGGACAGGGAC
rnacentral:lncRNA from 1 species